rnacentral:tRNA from 1 species
AAUAAAAUGGCUGAGGGGUAAGCGAUAAAUUGUAAAUUUAUUAACGAGAAAUUUUCUCUUUUAUUA